UUGCUCACUUUGGCAGCACAUAUACUAAAACUGGAACGAUACAGAGAAGAUUAACAUGUGGCCCCUGUGCAAGGAUGACACGCAUAUUCGUGAAACAUUCCACAUUUUA
rnacentral:snRNA from 1 species